ACAGACAGGCUGCCAGCCCUCAGCAUGGACCCGGCACAUGGAAUCUGUGAUCUUAAAAGAGUCAAGUGACUACCUUUGGCAACCAAAAGAGACACUGCCUUUUAGAAGGCAUAUCAUCUGAAACUGGCUGAAAGAGCUGUCUUACUUAGGAAGAAAAAUCUCUCCUUUGGAAAGAGCUGGAACUUUUAGUAAAACUGAACAGUGAGGUGGCGGAAGUAGAGAUGAUGUCUUGCCACAUUGCCCAGGCUGGUCUCAAACUCCAGGCCUAAAGGGAUCUUCUGACUUUGGCCUCCCAAAGUGCUGAGAUUAUAGGAUCGAGGCUAUCAAGCUACAGAUGAUCUUACAAAUGGAACCCCAAAUGAGCUCAACUAACAACUACCAAGGACCCCUGGACCAACCCGCUGGCCCUUUCAAUGGCCUAAAGAGUUCCCCUCUGGAGGACACUACAACUGCAGGGUCCUUUCUUUGCCCCUAUCCAGCAGGAAGUAGCUAGAGUGGUCAUCACCCAAUUCCCAACAGCAGUUGGGGUGUCUUGUUAAGUGGGGAGAUUGAGAGGUGAAGCCAGCUGGGCUUCUGGGUUGGGUGGGGACUUGGAGAACUUUUCUGUCUAGCUAGAGGAUUGUAAACACACCAAUCAGUGCUAUGUGUCUAGCUAGAGGUUUGUAAAUGCACCAAUCAGCACUCUGUAAAAACGGACCAAUCAGCACUCUGUAAAAUGGACCAAUCAGUAGGAUGCGGGCAGGGCCAAAUAAGGGAAUAAAAGCUGGCCACCUGAGUCAGCAGUGGCAACCCACUCGGGUCCCCUUCCAUGCUGUGGAAGCUUUGUUCUUUCACUCUUCACAAUAAAUCUUGCUGCUGCUCACUCUUUGGGUCCACACCACCUUUAUGAGCUGCAACACUCACUGCGAAGGUCUUCAGCUUCACUCCUGAAGUCAGCGAGACCACGAACCCAUGGGGAGGAACAAUCGACUUCAGACAUGCCACCUUUAAGAGCUGUAACACUCACUGCGAAGGUCUGUGGCUUCACUCCUGAAGUCAGCAAGACCACGAACCCACUGGAAGGAAGAAAUUUCGGACACAUCUGAACAUCUGAAUGAACAAACUCUGGACACGCCAUCUUUAAGAACUGUAACACUCACUGUGAGGGUUCAUGGGUUCAUUCUUGAAGUCAGCAAGACCAAGAACCCACCAGAAGGAACCAAUUCCGGACACAGACUCACUGCAACCUCCACCUCCUGGAUUCAAGUGAUUCUCCUGCCUCAGCCUCCGGAGUAGCUGUGCCUACAGGCACAAGCCACCACACACGGCUAAUUUUUUGUAUUUUUAGUAGAGAUGGGGUUUCACCAUGUUGCUCAGGCUGGUCUCCAACUCCUGAGCUCAAGUGAUCCACCUGUCUCGGCCUCCCAAAGUGUUGGGAUACAUGUGUGAGCCACUGUGCCCGGCCUCCUCUGGAUUAGUUCUUACAGGAAUAGAUUAGUUCUUGCUCGAGCAAGUUGUUAUAAAAGUGAGGUUGCCUCUAGUGUUUUGCAUCCUCACAUAUGUCUGCUUACCUCUUGACCUCUCUCUGUGUUAUGACCCAGCACAAAAGCCCUUACCAGAAGCCAAGCAGAUGCUGAUGCCACACCCCUUGGACUUCUCAGUCUACAGAGCCAUGAAACGAAUAAACCUCUCUUUAUAAA
rnacentral:lncRNA from 1 species